UCUUGCGUAUUUCCUGGAUGGUUUCUA
rnacentral:sRNA from 1 species